CCUACGGGAGGCAGCAGUGGGGAAUUUUGGACAAUGGGCGCAAGCCUGAUCCAGCCAUGCCGCGUGAGUGAAGAAGGCCUUCGGGUUGUAAAGCUCUUUCGGCCGGGAAGAAAUCGCAUGGGCUAAUACCCUGUGUGGAUGACGGUACCGGAAUAAGAAGCACCGGCUAACUACGUGCCAGCAGCCGCGGUAAUACGUAGGGUGCGAGCGUUAAUCGGAAUUACUGGGCGUAAAGCGUGCGCAGGCGGUUUUUUAAGAUAGGCGUGAAAUCCCCGGGCUCAACCUGGGAACUGCGCUUAUGACUGGAAGACUAGAGUAUGGCAGAGGGGGGUGGAAUUCCACGUGUAGCAGUGAAAUGCGUAGAGAUGUGGAGGAACACCGAUGGCGAAGGCAGCCCCCUGGGCCAAUACUGACGCUCAUGCACGAAAGCGUGGGGAGCAAACAGGAUUAGAUACCCUGGUAGUCCACGCCGUAAACGAUGAUAACUAGCUGUCCGGGUUCAUGGAACUUGGGUGGCGCAGCUAACGCAUUAAGUUAUCCGCCUGGGGAGUACGGUCGCAAGAUUAAAACUCAAAGGAAUUGACGG
rnacentral:rRNA from 1 species